rnacentral:misc_RNA from 1 species
UAGAUCGGCCAUUACUCCCAC